rnacentral:rRNA from 1 species
GACGAACGCUGGCGGCGUGCCUAAUACAUGCAAGUAGAACGCACAGUUUAUACCGUAGCUUGCUACACCAUAGACUGUGAGUUGCGAACGGGUGAGUAACGCGUAGGUAACCUGCCUGGUAGCGGGGGAUAACUAUUGGAAACGAUAGCUAAUACCGCAUAAUAUUGAUUAUUGCAUGAUAAUUGAUUGAAAGAUGCUAUUGCAUCACUACCAGAUGGACCUGCGUUGUAUUAGCUAGUAGGUGAGGUAACGGCUCACCUAGGCGACGAUACAUAGCCGACCUGAGAGGGUGAUCGGCCACACUGGGACGGAGACACGGCCCAGACUCCUACGGGAGGCAGCAGUAGGGAAUCUUCGGCAAUGGACGAAAGUCUGACCGAGCAACGCCGCGUGAGUGAAGAAGGUUUUCGGAUCGUAAAGCUCGGUUGUAAGAGAAGAACGGGUGUGAGAGUGGAAAGUUCACACUGUGACGGUAUCUUACCAGAAAGGGACGGCUAACUACGUG